rnacentral:rRNA from 1 species
CGAAUGCUGACAUAAGUAACGAUAAAGCGGGUGAAAAGCCCGCUCGCCGGAAGACCAAGGGUUCCUGUCCAACGUUAAUCGGGGCAGGGUGAGUCGACCCCUAAGGCGAGGCCGAAAGGCGUAGUCGAUGGGAAACGGGUUAAUAUUCCCGUACUUGGUGUUACUGCGAAGGGGGGACGGAGAAGGCUAUGUUGGCCGGGCGACGGUUGUCCCGGUUUAAGCGUGUAGGUGUGUGUUCCAGGUAAAUCCGGUUCACUUUAACACUGAGGCGUGACGACGAGGCACUACGGUGCUGAAGCAACAAAUGCCCUGCUUCCAGGAAAAGCCUCUAAGCAUCAGGUAACAUCAAAUCGUACCCCAAACCGACACAGGUGGUCAGGUAGAGAAUACCAAGGCGCUUGAGAGA